AAAGAGAAUCAGAAGUUCAAAGUCAUCUUCUGCUGAAUAGUGAGUCUGAGGUCAGCCUGAACUACAUGAGACCUUGCUUCAAAAACUCAAAUGGACUUUUUAACCUUGGCGCUAUGACAGAAGAUGCAUACUGUGUGCCAGAGACUCUCAAACUGCAGCACCAACACUACCACCACCAGCAGCAGUGACAGAAGCUCCUAGGUGUUUAUUAGAAGUGUGCUCUCCUGUCUCGGAGGGAAGGUCCUGGAUGCUCUUCAAGUGGCACACUGUUCUUGAGUGUCUUUAUGUCCUGGUAAAUGACAACCCCAAACAGCUGGCCAGCAACCAGUCCUCAGGGAGAGAUGAUGUUACAUUCAACCUGUUGGUUGUUUUUUCUUUCUUUCUCUUUGCCAACAUAAGGUAGUGCCAAAGAAAGAACCUCGCUCAUGGAAGAGAUGCCAACAAAGCUACCAUAGGAAGAUAACCCCAAUAAAGAUGAUAUUCUCUGUAUGGGACUCAGUUUGAACAAUCUGUCCUGUCCCUUUAAGAGACAAGCCACGCCCACUCCCUCCUCUGUCUGCUGAGGCAAGCUGAUCUUCAGCUUCCAGC